ACAGUACAAACUGAGCAGACCGUGAUUUUGGAGAUCAUGGAGUCGGGUCACAGAAGUGACAGUGGAACUUUUACAUCCACGGGACAGU
rnacentral:ncRNA from 1 species